AUGGCGGGGGCUGGCGGCGGCGAGGAGCAGGACCUUGGGAGGCGCCAUGGCGAGCAGGCAAGUGCUAGCAGCACCACAGUCGAGGUCAAAGAUUCCCCGUGCACCGGCGAGACGGGCGCGAGCUCUGGCGCCGGCCACAUCGCGGCGCAACUUAUCGGGGCGCUAAGGAGGAGCCAGGAGGAGCUCGCGACGAUGGGCAAGGCCGACGUGCUUGCGUACGAGGAUCGUCUGCGGGCUCUCAGGCUUCGCGUGCUCCAGAAGAUCCAGGAGGAGGAGGCGAAGGCGGCAGCGGCGGAACAGCCCACGACGGAGCCACGCCGUGCUGGUUGA
rnacentral:rRNA from 1 species